AGAGAUUAAACUGAAGAGUUUGAUCCUGGCUCAGAUUGAACGCUGGCGGCAUGCCUUACACAUGCAAGUCGAACGGCAGCACGGAGCUUGCUCUGGUGGCGAGU
rnacentral:rRNA from 1 species